rnacentral:lncRNA from 1 species
AGUCUCUCGCCGCAGCCCGUCGAGUCGGGGCGCUCGCCAUGCUCCCGUGACCCGGACCCGGCCAGUUCCCUUUCCCGUGGCGGGCAUCCCGGAGUCGCGAUCCCACAAUGCCCCGGGCAGUCGGGGCCCCGGCGGGCAGCCUGCACGGCCACGUGAGAGGUUGGUACUAAGAAGUGCCUUUCCUGACGUCUCUGCUGCUUGGAACCGCUUCUAGAGCAGCCUCUGCUUUUGCCUUGCUUGCUGCCAGCUAGACUGACGACAGCACAUCCGCCCUCCACCUCUAGCCCAGACACCCCAUUUCUACUUCUAAUCAGGAGAAAAGCUCUGAGUAUCUGCCAUUGCCCUAGGCUGCUUUAGUUUAGAAGAAAAGUUUGCUGAAAAAGUAAGAUACCUUCUGCCAGGAAAUCAAGGAGGAAAAAAAAAAAUCAUUUUCUCGAUUUUGCUCUAAACUGCUGCAUCUGUCUAUGCCAAACUAAUCAAUACCGAUUGCACCACCAAACUCCAUCGCAAAUCAGCUGUGAGGAGAUUCCCUGUCAGACAACUUUGCUGAAAGCAGCUUGGAAAUUCGGUGUCAAAGGGUCUGCCACGUUUUCAUGCUUGCAUUUUGGGCUCCAAAUUGGCACUGGGAAGGGGUUACUGAGCACACGGCUGAGUCCAGGCCUCCUCUAAACACCCAUCUACUUACAGUCCUGGUAUUCCUCUCAAAACCAAAACCUCUUUGAAUUAACAGUUUCAUGCUGUGAAUUUCUAGCGGAGGUCUUUCCCUUUAUAUUGAAGUCACACUUUUCCAUGUGCCGUUAAAUCGGGGACGGGGGAAGCAGCCUUUCGGACAUUUUCACAGUUAUCUCACACUCUGAGUUUUAUCAGUUCCUAUUUUGUUUAGUUUUUGUCUUUUGUUUUGGUUGCUGAUUUUUUUUCUAUUUUUCUUUUUCUUUUCUUUUUGUUUUUUCCUUUUUUUUUUUUUUUUUUUUUUUUUGGAGAGGGGUUGGAUUUGUUGGUUUCAUUAAACAUUUAACUACCUGUAAAAUAUAAACAUGGCUGUUAGUGUCACACCAAUUCGGGACACAAAAUGGCUAACACUGGAAGUAUGUAGAGAGUUUCAAAGGGGGACUUGCUCACGACCAGACACGGAAUGUAAAUUUGCACAUCCUUCGAAAAGCUGCCAAGUUGAAAAUGGACGAGUAAUCGCCUGCUUUGAUUCACUGAAAGUGAGUAAAUGUUACCUCCUUUUAAGGAUAUGCAAUGAUUGAUUAAGGGGUAUGGGUACAUGGUACUCUAAAUUUGGAAUUAUGGGUUGUUUUGUUAACACUUUAGUUACUCAGAAUGUUCUGGCUCCUGAGGCUGGCCUGGGGCUCUCAACUAGAUCUCAUAGAAUCAAACAGAGCCAAACUUUGUUAUAAAUAACUUUGUCAGGCCUUUAACUCCGAACUCCAUGCCUCCCCUCCCCUCCCUUUCUUUUCUUUUCUUUUUUUUUUUUUUUUCCUAAAGCAGAAUUGUUACACGUUGAUGUAGUUGUGACUUAGUGAUAGCAAGUCAGAGUCUUUGUUCAGCAAUGGUAAAUGUUUACAUUCAAGACUUUCAUAUAUAAUAAGGCCAAGAUUGAAUGAAUAUAUGUUGUAUGUCUUUGUUGGUAAACUUUGUCAAGCUGUUAUAAAUGAAUGGCAAAUUCUGUGUCAGCUGAUCAUAGGUAACAUUUUUACUCUUUUUUUUUUUUUUUAAUGAGAUGAUUUUAAUGGCUAAAGCCAUGUCCUUUUUGGGAAAACAUGACUAGAAGUGAGAGUUUUGUUUCGGUUGCUCUGGUAUCUUAUCCAAAGCAUAUACUAUAUUAGAUGUGGACUUUGUAAAUAGGCACAAACUCCUGUGUCCUGUUGUUCAUUGGGAUUUUCAUAUUGAGGCAAUGCAGAUGUUCAUUUUCUGUGAGAUUCUUGCCAGUUGUUACUUAUAGUGUUCUGUCAGAAAUGUUAAAAGUUAGCCUUGUGUGUGUGAUAAGAAGAAAUGGUUUAUUUAUGUUAGAAUUUUUGACAUUCAAAAAACUGUCAUUGGACUUGUAAGCCCUGUAUCAGGUUUCAAGUGGGUCUUGUAAAGAUAGCACACAUGUCUUUGUUUUGAUACAAGGUCAAGGCUAGAAAUGUGUUCUGGGGUGUCUUCAACCUGCUUGAUUUAAUCAGAUUAAUUUUUGAAUACUAAAUGCCUACAGCUAAUUCUUUGACUCUUCCAAGAUGGGUCACCAUCAUAUGGAAGUCUGUGAAGAAGUCUCAGAGACCCAUCAUGUUUAAAACCAAACCAUACAGUAAUCCAAGUGCUUUCUUACAUCACGUCAGGGUGAGUUAGAAGUUAACCGUUUCAGCUCACUUUGUGAUGCUCGAUCUGGUAAAGUUUUUGCCAAAUGUUUAAGAUUUGAUUUUCAGAACAGGAUAUGAGGAGGUAUGUGUUAGUAACCACAGACCUCUGUUAAGAUGGCAUGCUAUAUAGGCAGAGUCCUAGUUGAGGUGAAUAAGGGGAAAUUACCACUUUCUCUCAGCUUGGCCUUAAGGGAUGCCUUUAUUAUAAAGGUGUUGAUACCUUUGUGAACAUUAAUCCUGAAUUAAUGCUCACCAAUUCAGGUGUAAUGAGAGAAGGAUCCAUAACAGGAGGAGCAAAGGACUAAUUGCUUUUGUCGGGAAACAGCUGUGUCCAUAAGUAACUCCUUUUUGACCCAAUUCCUAGUAAAUCCAGUUUAUAAUCCUAUAGAUAAUUGGUGGUAAACUCCUAGCUCAGAAAUGAAGGACAUUAAAUUUGGCCGUGACAUUGAAUGGCUUUACAGAAGACCUGCCGGCACAGGGUUUGGAAACAUUGUGAAACAUUAGUAUUCAGUUGCUAUUUUUCCAGCUCCAAAUAUUUUUUUAGUUACCGUUCACUUGUGGUCAGAGAACAGUUCCCCUUUGAGGAAAGCAAUCGUCCUGCUUACAGACACCCAGUGUCCCUAACGAGGUUCAACCCCCACAUCAAGGACUUUAAAACAAACAAACAAAGAAAACC